rnacentral:rRNA from 1 species
GAAUGCCUAAAUGUUCCAAAGGCACCAGAUCUCAUCUGAUCUUGGAAGCUAACAAGGGUCAGUCCUAGUUAGCACUUGGAUGAGAGAUCAUCAGUGAAUACUAGAGAACGUAGUCU